rnacentral:lncRNA from 10 species
ACAGAGAGACAAGGAUGUCUGUCUUUGGCAGAUUGAAGGACAGAAGAAACUCAAAGGAAGAACAUCUUAGAGGAUGGAGUCAAGAAUUUUGGAAAACUGGACAAGAGAACCCUUCCAAGACAUAAGAACUGCAAUUUAAUACGGGAACAUUCUCUGUGCCUAAGAGAUCAAAAGUUGAAGUGCCUAUAGGGACCCAGGCUAAGAAAUAAGAAGAAAUGAAAACUGGGCUAGACCAAGGAGUACAUACACUGCCCCACCAAGAAGGUUCCAGAGCUGCUUAGCUCCAGCCAACUAUUGCCACGGGGGACAGUGCAACCACAUGUUCUAGGUGUUCAGUAGAACUUCAAACAUCAAAAAAUUACUGGCCAGGUGUGGUGAAAACCUGCAGAAGACUGACAGUAAUGAAAGUGGCUUGAGAAAAAGUGAGGAUAUUUGCAGAUUGAAAAAAGAAAAACAACUUCCUAUUUGGGGGAAAAUCUCAGUGAUGAAAAAAAUUGUCUCAGGAGGAUUUCCCAGCAUCAUAAUCUUCCUGAACACUGAAUUCUCUAGUUAACUACAGAAAUCAUGUGUUACAUAAAGAUAAGAUGGUCAAGGAAGGAAAAGAUCUUACAAUAUAUUGCUAAUAAUAA